AACGCACAUUGCGCCCCCCGGUAUUCCGAGGGGCAUGCCUGUCCGAGCGUCAUUUCACCCCCCAAGCCCGGCUUGGUAUUGGAGCCCGUCCCACCGGACGGCGCCGAAAAGCGCUGGCGGGCCCGACGCGGUUCCGAGUGCAGUAGAAUGCUUGCUCACGACCGCGGCGCGCCCGCCCGUCACCCCCUUUCUGUGGUUGACCUCGGAUCAGGUAGGGCUACCCGCUGAACUUAA
rnacentral:misc_RNA from 1 species